GGAAUAUUGGACAAUGGGGGCAACCCUGAUCCAGCGACGCCGCGUGGGUGAAGAAGGCCUGCGGGUUGUAAAGCCCUUUCGGACGGAACGAAAUCGCGCGGGUGAAUAUCCCGCGUGGAUGACGGUACCGUAAGAAGAAGCACCGGCUAACUACGUGCCAGCAGCCGCGGUAAUACGUAGGGUGCGAGCGUUAAUCGGAAUUACUGGGCGUAAAGUGUGCGCAGGCGGCGUCGCAAGUCGAGUGUGAAAGCCCCGAGCUUAACUUGGGAAUUGCGCUCGAAACUACGGUGCUGGAGUGUGGCAGAGGAAGGUGGAAUUCCACGUGUAGCGGUGAAAUGCGUAGAGAUGUGGAGGAACACCGAUGGCGAAGGCAGCCUUCUGGGCCAACACUGACGCUCAUGCACGAAAGCGUGGGGAGCAAA
rnacentral:rRNA from 1 species